AUGAAGUUGGAAUCGCUAGUAAUCGCGGAUCAGCAUGCCGCGGUGAAUACGUUCCCGGGCCUUGUACACACCGCCCGUCACACCAUGAGAGUCGGGAACACCCGAAGUCCGUAGUCUAACUUUCACGAGAGGACGCGGCCGAAGGUGGGUUCGAUAAUUGGGGUGAAGUCGUAACAAGGUAUC
rnacentral:rRNA from 1 species